GCCGCCCAGGCUGGACCUCGCCUCUGCCUCGCGGCAAUUCGGGUCAGAAUUGUGUCCUUGGGUUCCUAGGACUUGCUCCGCGCCGAAGGCCACGGGGGGCCAAGACCCAGGCUGGGGAGCGUCUGGAGGGGUCACUCACCUCUUAACCGGGACCCUGAGCUGGAAAAACACUGGAAGGAAGAGGCGCUGGCAGUCUGCUCAACUUCUGCCAAGGCCGCCCCCCACCCCCUUCCCGGCGGACUCUCCCAGAGCCUCGCGCUGGACCCUGAAGGCCGCAGCACAGUGUCCCAUCCGGCUUGUUCCUAGGUUACCGCUCU